rnacentral:rRNA from 1 species
GGAUUGAAGCUUGCUUCAAUUGCCGGCGACCGGCGCACGGGUGCGUAACGCGUAUGUAACCUACCUAUAACAGGGGCAUAACACUGAGAAAUUGGUACUAAUUCCCCAUAAUAUUCGGAGAGGCAUCUCUCCGGGUUGAAAACUCCGGUGGUUAUAGAUGGACAUGCGUUGUAUUAGCUAGUUGGUGAGGUAACGGCUCACCAAGGCAACGAUACAUAGGGGGACUGAGAGGUUAACCCCCCACACUGGUACUGAGACACGGACCAGACUCCUACGGGAGGCAGCAGUGAGGAAUAUUGGUCAAUGGACGCAAGUCUGAACCAGCCAUGCCGCGUGCAGGAAGACGGCUCUAUGAGUUGUAAACUGCUUUUGUACGAGGGUAAACUCACCUACGUGUAGGUGACUGAAAGUAUCGUACGAAUAAGGAUCGGCUAACUCCGUGCCAGCAGCCGCGGUAAUACGGAGGAUUCAAGCGUUAUCCGGAUUUAUUGGGUUUAAAGGGUGCGUAGGCGGUUUGAUAAGUUAGAGGUGAAAUCCCGGGGCUUAACUCCGGAACUGCCUCUAAUACUGUUAGACUAGAGAGUAGUUGCGGUAGGC